rnacentral:rRNA from 1 species
GAUGAACGCUGGCGGCGUGCCUAAUACAUGCAAGUCGAGCGAACAGAUCAGGAGCUUUCUCCUCUGACGUUAUCGGCGGACGGGUGAUUAACACGUGGAUAACCUACCUAUAAGACUGGGAUAACUUCGGGAAACCGUAUCUAAUACCGGAUAAUAUAUUGAACCGCAUGGUUCCAGAGUUGAAUACGGUAUUUCGUUCGCUUAUAGCUUGAUACGCCCCGCAUUAGCUAGUGGGUUAGGUGACGGCUUAGCAAGGCAGCGAUUCGUAGACGACCUGAGAGGGUGAUCGGACAGACUGGCACUGAGACACGGUCCAGACACCUACGGGAGGAAGCAGCAGGGAAUCUUCCGCAAUGGGCGAGAGCCUGACGGAGCAACGUCGCGUGAGUGAUGAAGGUCUUAGGAUCGUAAAGCUCUGUAAUUAGGGAAGAACAAAUGUGUAAGUAACUGUGCACGUAUUGACGGUACCUAAUCAGAAAGCCACGGCUAACUACGUG